UGCCAGGGAGCUGAGGCCUGUUUACACCUGGCCUCUGAAAAACACACUCUGCAACAUCAGCUUCUGCAGUCCUUUAAACAAGCGAUGAAUGUACAUCUGAAAGACCUGGAAGACCACAAGGCCCUAGUUAGCCUUUACGAAGACCUGAAGACCACCCAGGAGGUCCUGUCAGCUUCCAAGCUGCAGAAGCAGCAGACAUCUUCGCCUGAAGUUGUGGCACUGCCCAGGGAAGAGGAGGUGGAGGAAAGAAAAAUGGAGAGUCCUCAGCCCAACAGUACCAGUCCUGAAGAAGUGAGAGGCUCAAAGGCUGCGGUGAGCUGGGCUCUGCUUUGAUCCUUCCCUGGGUCUCCUUCCCUGCCUCUUCCACUGAGGUCCCUUUGGACACCCCAACACUUUGGAUUCCCCAUGCGCUCAUUUCCCUGGACCUUCUCUGAAAGCAGUGGUCAUGCCCC
rnacentral:lncRNA from 1 species